GGAGGACCAUCUCCUAAGGCUAAAUACUCUCUAGUGACCGAUAGUGAACCAGUACCGUGAGGGAAAGGUGAAAAGCACCCCGGAAGGGGAGUGAAAUAGAACCUGAAACCGUGUGCUUACAAGUAGUCAGAGCCCGUUAAUGGGUGAUGGCGUGCCUUUUGUAGAAUGAACCGGCGAGUUACGAUUUGAUGCAAGGUUAAGCAGUAAAUGUGGAGCCGUAGCGAAAGCGAGUCUGAAUAGGGCGUUUAGUAUUUGGUCGUAGACCCGAAACCAGGUGAUCUACCCUUGGUCAGGUUGAAGUUCAGGUAACACUGAAUGGAGGACCGAACCGACUUACGUUGAAAAGUGAGCGGAUGAACUGAGGGUAGCGGAGAAAUUCCAAUCGAACCUGGAGAUAGCUGGUUCUCUCCGAAAUAGCUUUAGGGCUAGCCUCAAGUGAUGAUUAUUGGAGGUAGAGCACUGUUUGGACGAGGGGCCCCUCUCGGGUUACCGAAUUCAGACAAACUCCGAAUGCCAAUUAAUUUAACUUGGGAGUCAGAACAUGGGUGAUAAGGUCCGUGUUCGAAAGGGAAACAGCCCAGACCACCAGCUAAGGUCCCAAAAUAUAUGUUAAGUGGAAAAGGAUGUGGCGUUGCCCAGACAACUAGGAUGUUGGCUUAGAAGCAGCCAUCAUUUAAAGAGUGCGUAAUAGCUCACUAGUCGAGUGACACUGCGCCGAAAAUGUACCGGGGCUAAACAUAUUACCGAAGCUGUGGAUUGUCCUUUGGACAAUGGUAGGAGAGCGUUCUAAGGGCGUUGAAGCAUGAUCGUAAGGACAUGUGGAGCGCUUAGAAGUGAGAAUGCCGGUGUGAGUAGCGAAAGACGGGUGAGAAUCCCGUCCACCGAUUGAC
rnacentral:rRNA from 1 species